AGGUUUUCCCUCAGAUGUGUGGUGAGCUGGCUGACCACUCAGCUUCAGAAUGGAUUAAUGCUGACAUCAAAAGCAGUCAGCAGGAUAUCUGAAAAACCCACCUGAGGUCACCUGGAGCCUACUAUGGACCAGCUCUCAGUACCAAGCACAGACUCUGAGCACCACCACCCCAGCUUCACCACAUUCUUCUGGUGCCUUGUGUUUUUCAGGUUGCAGAGCAGUGAUAACUGGCAGUGUCUUUUGGGUGUGAGGUACCUGGAGUUCAGAGACCCUCCAACCCCUGACAAUGACAGCAGAUGAGUUGGUUUCUUUGUGAAUGGC